rnacentral:rRNA from 1 species
UACGAAGGUGGCAAGCGUUGUUCGGAUUUACUGGGCGUACAGGGAGCGUAGGCGGUUGGGUAAGCCCUCCGUGAAAUCUCCGGGCCUAACCCGGAAAGGGCGGAGGGGACUGCUCGGCUAGAGGAUGGGAGAGGUCGGUGGAAUUCCCGGUGUAGUGGUGAAAUGCGUAGAGAUCGGGAGGAACACCUGUGGCGAAGGCGGCCGACUGGGCCGACCCUGACGCUGAGGCGCGAAGGCGUGGGGAGCGAACGGG